GGAACGAACGCUGGCGGCAUGCCUAACACAUGCAAGUCGAACGAGACCUUCGGGUCUAGUGGCGCACGGGUGCGUAACGCGUGGGAAUCUGCCCUUGGGUUCGGGAUAACAGUUGGAAACGACUGCUAAUACCGGACGAUGUCUUCGGACCAAAGAUUUAUCGCCCAAGGAUGAGCCCGCGUAGGAUUAGCUUGUUGGUGAGGUAGGAGCUCACCAAGGCGACGAUCCUUAGCUGGUCUGAGAGGAUGAUCAGCCACACUGGGACUGAGACACGGCCCAGACUCCUACGGGAGGCAGCAGUGGGGAAUAUUGGACAAUGGGCGAAAGCCUGAUCCAGCAAUGCCGCGUGAGUGAUGAAGACCUUAGGUGUAAAGCUCUUUUACCGGGAUGAUAAUGACAGUACCGGAGAGUAACGCCCCGGAUAACGUCCGCGCCAGCAGCCGC
rnacentral:rRNA from 1 species